UGGGUAGCAAACAGGAUUAGAUACCCUGGUAGUCCACGCCGUAAACGAUGAUAACUAGCCGUUGGGGGGAUUUACCCUUUAGUGGCGAAGCUAACGCGUUAAGUUAUCCGCCUGGGGAGUACGGCCGCAAGGUUAAAACUCAAAGGAAUUGACGGGGACCCGCACAAGCGG
rnacentral:rRNA from 1 species